GUUUGAUUGCUCAGUCGGUACGGUGUGAGACUCUUAAUCUCAGGGUGGGUUCAAGCCCCACAUUGGGCA